ACGAACGCUGGCGGCGUGCCUAAUCCAUGCCAGUAGAACGCACAGUUUAUACCGUAGCUUGCUACACCAUAAACUGUGAGUUGCGAACGGGUGAGUAACGCGUAGGUAACCUGCCUGGUAGCGGGGGAUAACUAUUGGAAACGAUAGCUAAUACCGCAUAAUAUUGAUUAUUGCAUGAUAAUUGAUUGAAAGAUGCUAUUGCAUCACUACCAGAUGGACCUGCGUUGUAUUAGCUAGUAGGUGAGGUAACGGCUCACCUAGGCGACGAUACAUAGCCGACCUGAGAGGGUGAUCGGCCACACUGGGACUGAGACACGGCCCAGACUCCUACGGGAGGCAGCAGUAGGGAAUCUUCGGCAAUGGACGAAAGUCUGACCGAGCAACGCCGCGUGAGUGAAGAAGGUUUUCGGAUCGUAAAGCUCUGUUGUAAGAGAAGAACGGGUGUGAGAGUGGAAAGUUCACACUGUGACGGUAUCUUACCAGAAAGGGACGGCUAACUACGUG
rnacentral:rRNA from 1 species